ensembl:lncRNA
CUUCCUCUUCUUCCUCUUCCUCCUCCUGAGCUCCAGCAAAGCCAACGUCUCAUAGGAGGCUAUUGAAGCCGUGGAGGCAGGAAUGAAUGGCUCCUCAUUGGGGAUGCAAGGAGCCUAAAAGCAGGAGGGAGGGGGAGAAGGAGAGGGAGGGAGGGAGGAUACUCUGGUCCAGUGGAGAGGCCCCCCUGACUUCUAAGUCCAGAGCCCCGCGGGCAGCAGAGGGAAAUAUUGAGCCAAAGAGGUUUGAAGAAAGCCCUCAGGGGUCACCUUUUAUUAUUCAAGGCAGACCUUUUGGGGGAAGCAACAAAAAAGCAGCUCAGUUGCGGAAACCGCGGAGCCCGGAUUCGCCACCUUUGGGUCCCUGGGAAGACUCGAGACGGCGGCUCCCGAGUCCAAGCGCGGGCGGAGGAGGAGGAGAGGCGCCGCUCCCUUCCCUUCUCCAAACCCAUAAGCCAAGAAUCAGAUCUCUAAAAGCCGAGGAUAUUCAGAGGACAGCAAUCGAUCUCGGUUGGCCAGAUCGGGAUCUUCAAUCCGACCUUGAGAAGAAUAAGUUUCUGUAUCUCAGCAAGGCAAAGGAGGCUGGCUUUUGUGAGUCUUCCGAAAAGUGAUAGAAUUUUUUUUCGUGUGGCUUCUGGUUUGAGAGAAUUGGCCGUCUGCAAGGACGUGAUCCAGGGGACACCCGGAUGUUUGAUGCUUUAUCGUCCUGUAUUGGCUUCUCUUAUGUCAGCUGGAGCUGACGGAUGCGAGCUCCCCCAGCUCCCCCAAUUCGAACCUCCGACCUUUUCGGUCAGCAGUCCUGCCGGCACAGGGGUUUAACCCAUUGCGUCAUGGGGAUCCAUAGAAAGCAAUGAAAUACCAUGAAUACACCUGUGCGUUUGUACACAUACAUUAAUUAAAUACACGCACGAUGAUAUUAAUAUAUGUGUGUUCAGGUAUAUGACCCCGCCGGCACACACAAAAUGUCCUUCUCGGUGUGCUUAUGGCCUCUUCUACAAUGCCAUAUAACAUCCAGAUUAUCCGCUUGGAACUGGAUUAUAUGGCAGUGUAUACUCAGAUAAUCCAAUUCAAAGCAGAUAAUGUGAAUUAUCUGAUUUGAUGAUCUGGAUCAUAUGGCAGUGUAGAAGGAGCUUAUAUGAAUGAUCUUAGCUAAAAGAUGUCAGUCUGAUAGGGAGGAAAGUUGGGCAUAUGUAAUAAAUAAACCACCAAGCCUGCAAAUAAUAUUAAGAGCUUUUCCUGAGAGAGGCAAGAAAGGAGAGAAAGGGUGGAGGAGGAAGGGGCUCCCAAUAGAGGCCAUAUCCUGGGUUGCAGAGGGCCCUUCCACACAGCCCUAUAACCCAGAAUGUCAAGGCAAUAUCUGCUUGGAACUGGGUUAUCUGAGUCAAGUUCAAAGCAGAAAAUGUGGGAUUUUAUUCAGCUUUGUGGAAGGGGACAGAGUCUGCCUCGAGUUUGGGAAGAAGUCCUCUUUCUAGUUAUUUUUUUCUUGUAGCGUAUUAUCCAUAGUGACCCUUCUAAAACAUGCCGGUUAAUAUCCCAGAUCAAACGGGUGGGGGAAAAUACUUUCAUCUGUUGCCGUUUUUGUUGUUAUUCCCAGUCGGGGCAAAGUUGACACAGGGCGCCCUGCUUUCGUUGGGAAAGAGGAGAGCGUCAUUUGUCGCCUUGUAUCCUCUCCUCUCCCAGAAACCAGAAGGAAGCAAUCGCGUCCCUUCUCUCUUGUUGGUUUGGCUCCACGUUUGGGGAGGAAAGCGGUUGGUUUGGGGUUGGCCAGGCUUGGCGCUCCCUUUUAUCUUUCCCGAAGAGGCCGAUAAUAACCUUCAUAAAACCUUGACCAAACGAGAGGCGAUAAUAACGUGUUUUAAAAAAGAUAGAUGAAUAGGUUUCUUUUUUUAAAAAAGUAACAAG